GCGUUCCUCGCUGGAGAGAGGCCCGCCCCGAGCGGGCCCACCGAAGGGGCAAGCGGCGCAUCCGCAAGGGCGUGUCGCCAAUCUCUCAGGUAAAGCGGACAGCCAGGGCAAG
rnacentral:ncRNA from 2 species